GACGGAGGGUGCAAGCGUUGCUCGGAAUUAUUGGGCGUAAAGGGUAGGUAGGUGGUCUCAUUUGUCGGGGGUGAAAGCCUUGGGCUUAACCCAAGAAGUGCCCCCGAAACGGUGAGACUGGAGUCCUGGAGAGGGUCGUGGAAUUCCCGGUGUAGCGGUGAAAUGCGUAGAGAUCGGGAGGAACACCAGAGGCGAAGGCGGCGACCUGGACAGGAACUGACACUCAACUCCGAAAGCGUGGGGAGCAAACAGG
rnacentral:rRNA from 1 species